rnacentral:rRNA from 1 species
AGUGAACGCUGGCGGUAGGCCUAACACAUGCAAGUCGAACGGCAGCACAGUAAGAGCUUGCUCUUACGGGUGGCGAGUGGCGGACGGGUGAGGAAUACAUCGGCAUCUACUUUUUCGUGGGGGAUAACGUAGGGAAACUUACGCUAAUACCGCAUAAGACCUACGGGUGAAAGCAGGGGAUCUUCGGACCUUGCGCGAUUGAAUGAGCCGAUGUCGGAUUAGCUAGUUGGCGGGGUAAAGGCCCACCAAGGCGACGAUCCGUAGCUGGUCUGAGAGGAUGAUCAGCCACACUGGAACUGAGACACGGUCCAGACUCCUACGGGAGGCAGCAGUGGGGAAUAUUGGACAAUGGGCGCAAGCCUGAUCCAGCCAUACCGCGUGGGUGAAGAAGUCCUUCGGGUUGUAAAGCCCUUUUGUUGGGAAAGAAAAGCAGCAGGUUAAUACCCCGCUGUUCUGACGGUACCCAAAGAAUAAGCACCGGCUAACUUCGUG